rnacentral:rRNA from 1 species
CAGCCGCCGCGGUAAUACGUAGGUGGCAAGCGUUGUCCGGAAUUAUUGGGCGUAAAGGGCUCGCAGGCGGUUUCUUAAGUCUGAUGUGAAAGCCCCCGGCUCAACCGGGGAGGGUCAUUGGAAACUGGGAAACUUGAGUGCAGAAGAGGAGAGUGGAAUUCCACGUGUAGCGGUGAAAUGCGUAGAGACGUGAGGAACACCAGUGGCGAAGGCGACUCUCUGGUCUGUAACUGACGCUGAGGAGCGAAAGCGUGGGGAGCGAACAGGAUUAGAUACCCGAGUAGUCCCUGUCUCUUAUACA